rnacentral:lncRNA from 1 species
AUCAAAAAUUUCUAUCAAAUUUCAGAAUUUGGCACAUAGAAUUUCAGAAUUUGGCACGCUCCUUUCACACCUCGAUACAUAACCUGAAACUCAUGUUUUAUCUCUAAUUUUUGGAGUUUCAUCCUUAAUGAAUUAUAAAUGAAAGGGGGAGCAAUUCAAAAAGUCAAAUUGGCAACAUUUGAAUGAUAUAGGGGGAGACUUCACUCUUAUAUAUGAAAAGCUGAAAUUCAGCAAGUUAAGUCCCUUCUAAAACUAAAUUUAAGAUAAGUAUCAAGAGGCUCAUACUCUUUAUUUUGUAAUCAUCAAAAAGGGGGAGAUUGAGGAUGAUAGUGUUAUUUUGAUGAUUAACAAGCAAUUAUCU